GAUGAACGCUGGCGGCGUGCCUAAUACAUGCAAGUCGAGCGAACGGACGAGAGGCUUGCUUUUCUGAUGUUAGCGGCGGACGGGUGAGUAACACGUGGAUAACCUACCUAUAAGACUGGGAUAACUUCGGGAAACCGGAGCUAAUACCGGAUAAUAUUUUGAACCGCAUGGUUCAAAAGUGAAAGACGGUCUUGCUGUCACUUAUAGAUGGAUCCGCGCUGCAUUAGCUAGUUGGUAAGGUAACGGCUUACCAAGGCAACGAUGCAUAGCCGACCUGAGAGGGUGAUCGGCCACACUGGAACUGAGACACGGUCCAGACUCCUACGGGAGGCAGCAGUAGGGAAUCUUCCGCAAUGGGCGAAAGCCUGACGGAGCAACGCCGCGUGAGUGAUGAAGGUCUUCGGAUCGUAAAACUCUGUCAUUAGGGAAGAACAUAUGUGUAAGUAACUGUGCACAUCUUGACGGUACCUAAUCAGAAAGCCACGGCUAACUACGUG
rnacentral:rRNA from 1 species